GACGAACGCUGGCGGCGUGCUUAACACAUGCAAGUCGAACGGAAAGGCCCUGCUUUUGUGGGGUGCUCGAGUGGCGAACGGGUGAGUAACACGUGAGUAACCUGCCCUUGACUUUGGGGUAACUUCAGGAAACUGGGGCUAAUACCGGAUAGGAGCUCCUGCUGCAUGGUGGGGGUUGGAAAGUUUCGGCGGUUGGGGAUGGACUCGCGGCUUAUCAGCUUGUUGGUGGGGUAGUGGCUUACCAAGGCUUUGACGGGUAGCCGGCCUGAGAGGGUGACCGGCGACAUUGGGACUGAGAGACGGCGCAGACGGCUACGGGAGGCAGCAGUGGGGAACAUGGCACAAUGGGCGGAAGUCUGAGGCAGCAACGUCGCGUGCGGGAUGACGUCUUGUGGGGUGUAAACCGCUGUCGCCUGUGACGAAGCGUGAGUGACGGUAACGGGUAAAGAAGCACCGGCUAACUACGUG
rnacentral:rRNA from 1 species